rnacentral:rRNA from 1 species
CGAACGCUGGCGGCGCGCCUCACACAUGCAAGUCGAACGGAGCUGAGAGAAGCUUGCUUUUCUUAGCUUAGUGGCGAACGGGUGAGUAACGCGUGAGUAACCUGCCCUGGAGUGGGGGACAACAGUUGGAAACGACUGCUAAUACCGCAUAAGCCCACGAUCCGGCAUCGGAUUGAGGGAAAAGGAUUUAUUCGCUUCAGGAUGGACUCGCGUCCAAUUAGCUAGUUGGUGAGGUAACGGCCCACCAAGGCGACGAUUGGUAGCCGGACUGAGAGGUUGAACGGCCACAUUGGGACUGAGACACGGCCCAGACUCCUACGGGAGGCAGCAGUGGGGGAUAUUGCACAAUGGGGGAAACCCUGAUGCAGCGACGCCGCGUGGAGGAAGAAGGUUUUCGGAUUGUAAACUCCUGUCGUUAGGGACGAUAAUGACGGUACCUAACAAGAAAGCACCGGCUAACUACGUG